rnacentral:rRNA from 1 species
GAUGAACGCUGGCGGCGUGCCUAAUACAUGCAAGUCGAGCGAACAGACGAGGAUCUUGCUCCUCUGACGUUAGCGGCGGACGGGUGAGUAACACGUGUAUAACCUCCCUAUCAUACUGGGAUCACUUCGGGAAACCGGAUCUAAUACCGGAUAAUAUAUUGAACCGUAUGGUUCAAUAGUGAAAUACGGUUUUUCUGUCACUUCUAGAUGGAUCCGCGCCGCUGUAGCUAGUUGGUAAGGUAACGGCUUACCAAGGCGACCAUGCGUAGCCGACCUGAGAGGGUGGUCGGCCACACUGGAGCGGGGACAGGGUCAAGACUCCUACGGGAGGCAGCAGUAGGGAAUCUUCCGCAAUGGGCGAAAGCCUGACGGAGCAACGCCGCGUGAGUGAUGAAGGUCUUCGGAUCGUAAAACUCUGUUAUUAGGGAAGAACAAAUGUGUAAGUAACUAUGCACGGCUUGACGGUACCUAAUCAGAAAGCAACGGCUAACUACGUG